CUCGGAUCAGGUAGGGAUACCCGCUGAACUUAAGCAUAUCAAUAAGCGGAGGAAAAGAAACCAACCGGGAUUGCCUCAGUAACGGCGAGUGAAGCGGCAAGAGCUCAAAUUUGAAAGCUGGCUCCUUCGGGGUCCGCAUUGUAAUUUGCAGAGGAUGCUUCGGAUACGGCCCCUGUCUAAGUGCCCUGGAACGGGCCGUCGGAGAGGGUGAGAAUCCCGUCUGGGAUGGGGUGUCCGUGUCCGUGUGAAGCUCCUUCGACGAGUCGAGUUGUUUGGGAAUGCAGCUCUAAAUGGGUGGUAAAUUUCAUCUAAAGCUAAAUACUGGCCGGAGACCGAUAGCGCACAAGUAGAGUGAUCGAAAGAUGAAAAGCACUUUGAAAAGAGAGUUAAAAAGCACGUGAAAUUGUUGAAAGGGAAGCGCUUGCGACCAGACUCGCCCUCGGGGUUCAGCCGGCAUUCGUGCCGGUGUACUUCCCCGGGGGCGGGCCAGCGUCGGUUUGGGCGGCCGGUCAAAGGCUCCCGGAAUGUAGUACCCUCCGGGGUACCUUAUAGCCGGGAGUGCAAUGCGGCCAGCCUGGACCGAGGAACGCGCUUCGGCACGGACGCUGGCAUAAUGGUCGCAAACGACC
rnacentral:rRNA from 1 species